GACGAACGCUGGCGGCGUGCUUAACACAUGCAAGUCGAACGGAAAGGCCCUGCUUUUGUGGGGUGCUCGAGUUGCGAACGGGUGAGUAACACGUGAGUAACCUGCCCUUGACUGUGGGAUAACUUCAGGAAACGGUGGCUAAUACCGCAUAGGAGCUCCUGCUGCAUGGUGGUGGUUGGAAAGUUUCGGUGGUUGGGGUUGGACUCGCGGCUUAUCAGCUUGUUGGUGUGGUAGUGGCUUACCAAGGCUUUGACGGGUAGCCGGACUGAGAGGGUGACAGGCCACAUUGGGACUGAGAUGCGGGCAAGAGUGCUACGGGAGGCAGCAGUGGGGGAUAUUGCAAAAUGGGCGGCAGCAUGAUGCAGCGACGCCGCGUGGGGGAUGACGGCCUUCGGGUUGUAACGCGCUUUCGCCUGUGACGAAGCGUGAGUGACGGUAAUGGGUAAAGAAGCACCGGCUAACUACGUG
rnacentral:rRNA from 1 species